AUGGCGCAGCGUACGUAGGGUCCUGAGUGUCAAUGAGACCUGAGGGGCGAGAGCCCGGGGAGUCCCGGCCGCGGCGGCUACGGCGACUUCUCUACACCAGGGACCGCGGGGACCCGGCCUCGCCGCCUCCUCCUUGAGCCUGCGGGCAAGUCCGGACACUCGUCCUGAGGAUGUCGGCGUCGCCGCCGCCGCGUCUCUUUCUUCCGGGUGCCACUGGCUGGCCUCGGGCCCCCAUCCAGCCCCUGGAGCCGCGGCGGCGACGACAACGGCAGCAGGUGAACUGUGCACCAAGGGCGCCUGCGCCGCCUACGUGGAGCUCUCCGAGGCUAACUACGGAGCACCGGAGGGGACAAGCACAAUGUCGGGGCCUGCACAUGCGCGCUCGGCCCGUCGCUCCCGAACUCACUGCACUGGAGGACACAAGGUUUGGGGCUGCCUGAUUUCGUUGCGUGCGGCCCUCGCGGCUCAGAAAUGGAGCCAAAGCCCUGACUCUCACCUGGGCUUUGGCCCUGCGAAAUCAGACGGGGAGAGUACUGCUUCUAUUGAUGGCAGCAGGGCCGACGGGCCCACUGCAAAGAACACAGGGAUGAGCGUCCAGGAUGGGAGAAGGGGAGAUCCAGAGAACCUGACGCGGGCCCUAAUUGAUAGUGUACUUUUCUUUAGUAGCUGUAGCUAGGAUUCUAUGUCUUCGGUUCCAGAGGGGCCCGCUUCCCUUCCCGGAACUCUUCCAGCCUCGGGAAGUCCCUGAUACCGGCCGCCAGGGGUCCAAAUGUUUUAUGCCAAUACCGUAAAACCUCAACUGUUUGGACACCUGCUUUAUUCUUUUCUUCACCGAAAUCGUAUAUUUCACAAAUUCAUUCAGAAACCUUUAUCAGGCCUUGGAGAUUUCACAGCCUAGUGGAAGACACAGAUUCCUAAUGAGUCCAAAUUUACUGCUAACACCUGCAGUCAUCCUACAAGAUUUUAACGUUUCUGUGCCUCAUUUAUCCAAAACCCGAAGUUUGGCUGCCUGCGAAUCCUCAGGCCCAAUUUCAGCAACCCACUUUUGCAUGCUGUACCUUUGGUAUCAUCUGAAACUGCUUACAUUGUCUGAGGCAUCAGAAUCUAACAGUAUAUGCUGAUCUCCACGUUUUAGCAAAUUUUGUUUUCCAGCAAUAAUAGGGGGAACCUGCUCUCGAGAGUCCAUGUUCUGAUCCCUAAAUGUAUUAGAGCCAAAGUGGGGCCUGGAACACUGCCUUAACACCUGGGCUAAGUCCUCUUAUAUCUCAUAGUGAACACCUUAUGUAAGGGGUCCCCAGCCCCUGGGCCACAAACGAGUACCAGCCCAUGGCCUGUUAGGAACCGGGCUACACAGCAAGAAGUGAAUCUCUGGCACGCCAGGGAAGUUUAAUCUGUAUUUACAGCUGCUCCCCAUGGCUCAUAUUAUCGUCCGAGCUCCACCUCCUGUCAGAUCAGCUGUGGUGUGAGAUUCUCAUAGGAGCUGGAACUAUUGUGAACUAGGCAUGAGAGGGAUCUAGGUUGUGUGCUCCUUAUGAGAAUCUAAUGCCUGAUGAUCUGUCACUGUCUCCCAUCACCCCCAGAUGGGACCAUCUCGUUGCAGGAAAACAAGCUCAGGGCUCCCACCGAUUCUGCAUUAUGGUGAGUUGUAUAAUGAUUUCAUUAUAUAUUACAAUGCAAUAAUAAUAGAAAUAAAGUGCACAAUAAAUAUAAUGCAUUUGAAUUGUC